rnacentral:rRNA from 1 species
GGGCCCGCACAAGCGGUGGAGCAUGUGGUUUAAUUCGACGCAACGCGAAGAACCUUACCUGGGUUAGACAACGGUGGACCGUUCCAGAGAUGGAGCUUUCCCUUCGGGGACUGCCGGUUCAGGUGCUGCAUGGCUGUCGUCAGCUCGUGUCGUGAGAUGUUGGGUUAAGUCCCGCAACGAGCGCAACCCUUGUCUCUAGUUGCCAGCAUUUAGUUGGGCACUCUAGAGAGACUGCCGGCGUUAAGCCGGAGGAAGGUGGGGAUGACGUCAAGUCCUCAUGGCCCUUAUGCCCAGGGCUACACACGUGCUACAAUGGUCGGUACAGAGGGCUGCGAAGCCGCAAGGUGAAGCCAAUCCCACAAAGCCGGCCUCAGUUCGGAUUGGAGUCUGCAACUCGACUCCAUGAAGGUGGAAUCGCUAGUAAUCGCGGAUCAGCACGCCGCGGUGAAUACGUUCCCGGGCCUU